AUCUCUGAUCUCUAAAAUACAGGGAUAAUACAUUCACAUAGUCCAGGAAGUGGACAACCGACCGGAUGUUGUUUUGUGAUCAGUGAUGCGUUUCCAGGGACACAGUAAACUUUGAGGAAGAAGUAGUGUCAUGUUUAGUGUUCACGGUUUACAUUGCUGAAGGAAAAUUACAAGUCUAAACGGAGAAGAGUCGUCAUUUCAAUGUGUUUCACGGACGUAUUGGUAUGUGGAUGUGGACAAUGUCGGACGACAUCAAAGUUGAUAUGAGAAGUUGGAGUGAAUACGAGAAGAGCAUGCGAGCUGCCUGCUUCCUACUCCUGCUGCUGCCGCUGCUGCUGUUGCAUUCAAUGUUGGGUAGCCAGCCACCCAUGCACGAUGACAAUGCCAGCAGCGGGCACCCAUGGGGAUGGACCCAGGAGUGGAGGAUGACCCAGUAUGAUGAAAGUUCAGCCCACUCACUGACACCAGUGACACAGUAUUGACCAGAUCUCCUGGAAGUGCCUCCUGACGCAGACCCAGUUGUUGGGUAGCCAGCCACCCAUGCACGUUGACACAGCCAGCACUGAGCACCCAGGGGGAUGGACCCAGGAGUGGAGGACGGCCCAAUAGGAUGAAAAUUCAUCCCACUCACUGUUGACACCAAUGAGGGAACAAGAGAGGCUAGGCAACCCCAUCUUUUGACAACGAUCACCACC